ACCUGGUUGGUUCAGUUGGUAGAACAUGAGACUUUUGAUCUCAGAGAUGUGAGUUCAAGUCCCACGUUGGGUG